GAAUGGAAUGAUGAAUAUUUGUUUCCCUAUUGGUUUGACUGCCAGAAUGAUGCAAUUUGUUUUAGAACUAUCUGACCGUUC
rfam:Medicago truncatula strain A17 chromosome 1, whole genome shotgun sequence.